rnacentral:ncRNA from 1 species
GGUGUCGAAGACUUAAUAGAAAAGCCGGUUAAAGGCCGGCGCGGUCCCGCCACUGUAUCAGCGAGCGACUCUGCAAUUGGUCACUGGGGAAAACCUUGGGAAGACGCAGAGGAGCGAUGAACUGGAGCCAGGAGAACUGCCCGAUC